UCAAAACAAACAUUGCAUUAUUGAUCAAAGAAUUGUAGACUAAUGUUAUUUUAUAUUUUUUAAGAGUAAAACGCAUGUACACUAAUAUUGCCCUGUUACUAAUUAUGAGAUUUUCAGGUAAGUUAUUGAGCUAUUUCUGUUUGAUUUGUUAGGAGAUUAGUUUUGUCCGUUUACAAGUUAACCUUGCUUGUGUUAUUCUUGGCAAGUAAUCAUUUCUUAUACAAAUUUUUGUACACUAUAGGCUUAUUAUUUAAAUUUUAGGUAGCGUGUGGAGAUUUCAUCUUAUGUUCAUGAGCGCACAACUUAUAAAAUCAUAAUAAAUGUUUUCUGGUGGUGUGUAGCAGUUAACCGCAUUUAAGUAAAAAUAUUUUGAAAUAAUUGUUACCAGAGCUGAAUUACAUUCAGGCUUGUGGAGAACAGCUUUUUUUUAUCUACUCUUUGGCUGGCCAAUGUAAAUAAGCAAUUAUUUCAUGAAUGCAGCGAGAGAGUUUAUUUGAUGUAUUUUAAAAUCACUGAUAAUAUUUAUUGGUGUAUUUUAAAAUCACUGAUAAUAUUUAUUGGUGUAUUUUAAAAUCGCUGAUAAUAUUUGUUUUGUGGCUGGAAGAUGGUAACCAUGGUGACUUGUGAAUUUUUAUGAAGGAUUAAUAAAAAGCAGUAAAAAUUA